UCACACUUAUUUAUUUUAAAACGUGUUUUUUAUUGUAUGCAACAUUGGUUAUAUACUGCUUUGACAUAACAGUUCACAUGCAGAUAAGUUUUAUUAUUUUUUAACUUGUUCACUAGUGAUGUCAGCUAGCAGCUCACGUGCAGCUCCGAGCAGUGCUUGACACAAUCCUUAACCAUCCUGCAGUAAAACACUUUAGUUUUAUCUGCUGUAGUUUUCAACAUGACCCAUAACAUGUUUUCUAUAAGCUGCAUGUAGUAUUUAAUUUAUAACUCGAUAUGAACAUUAUUAAUAAUGGCCGCUGCUGCUUCGGUGUGGCUACAGUGUCUCUCAGUGAUGAUAAUUACACAGACCUGUGCUGAAUGACAGUGAGUGAUUUGGAUUAUUCUGACGCGAGACACUUAAAGUAUUUUUUCACCGACUCAUUGCGUUCUGUACAAGUCACGUGGAGCGGUCACGUGUUAGCUACCAGAGGACUUAUCUGCACCCUGCUAAAGCAACAGUUUUUGUUUUCUAGAUGGUGACUAAAGACCCAGAAACUGCCUGCAGCAAAGGUGUGAGGAGCUGAUGGAGAGACUCUUCCAACAUGAGCCUUUGAAGAAAUUUCUUUACCAGAUUCUGAGCAGCACAUGAAGCUCCACCUAAUGCAAUUAAAGUCAUCUUGGUACCUAAUGGAGAAAAGAAGAAACUUCUCUGUUGGAGGCAAAUCAAAGAUGAAGAACAAGGAUGAAGGACUUUGACAGGCUGAUCUGCACUGUCCAAACUGAACUCUUCUAAUGAGCCGCGAGUGAGGUGAAGGCUUGUUGUGCAGGACGUCCUGGAGUCUCACGGUUCAUGACCGAGGCUUCACUCGUGCUGCUGAAGUCCAUGGUGCUGCUGAAGUCAAAGGUACCUGGCUCUUGGAGAUGCUGCCAACUUAACGACAGGUGCUUGUCCAGGUCAAUGCUGAACUGGGGUCAUCAAGACGGACCGAGCCAAUGAGAUGAUGGUUGUUUCUGACUGCAGUGUGAGGAACGGCUCGGACGUCGAGCACUGAUGCAGAGUCUGGCUGCGGUGCUUGUUGAUUCCUGAUGCUGUGGGGUUCAUGGACUCCAUCAACAACAUCCAGCUGCCAUCUUGGACUGCAACACGACUGCUGCAUUUAAUUUGUUAAGACUUUGGAUUUCCAGAACCUGAUGUAUUCAAAUAAAGUUCAGUAAAUCUCA